UGUCAGGUUAAAAACAGACCUUUUUGAAGUAUAAACUUACCUUUACAUACUUGUUGAAAAGACCAUGUUCGAGUGCCAUGUAAACCUGUUUUCUUAUAUUAUUAUUAACUAUUAUAACACACGAUUACAAAUUGGAACUACUUGAAAACAAUGUUGAACUGAAGCAAAAAAAAAUACAUGUAAACAUAGAAAACUAAAAAAUUAAUUCUAAUUGCCGAACAAUUAUUAACCACAACCAGCCAAUAAAAAUUUAAAAAUAUAAUCUUGUCAUCUCAGUGUCCAAACCAAAGUACGAAAUUCAUUAAUUGAAUCUGAUUCGAAAUAAAAUAUGAUAUUCAAGCUUAAAAAAUUUCACACUUAAAUAAGUAGGUUAGAUUAUUUAAAUUGAAAUAUAAUUUUAGAAUAUAGAACUUUUCAGAUAAUUAUUUGGUGCAUAAAGGGCAUCUCAGUCAUUGCCGAUCUUAUGUGUGAUGAAACACACACAAAUUUUGAUGAAUACUAAAAAUAUGGUUAAUUCCAUGCUUGAAUUUUGAUUUAAAUCUUAUCAAAUUAUAGCACAACAAACUGUCGAUCUCAGUCUUCAGCCUCAAUAUUCCAAUUAUUGGAUUGCUUUAAUUAACAAACAGUUAAUAUAUGCUUUCCUUCCCUAGAAUAUGUUAUCCUGUAGUCUGGUUGUGGUUUUCCUUGCCAUGCAUGACAAUCAGUUUUCUUUUAUUUUCUCCAUCUCACAUCCCCCCCCCCCAAAAAAAAAAAUAAGUAUAGUUUGCUGCUUCAGUUCAUCCACAUUCAAAUAAGUUCCACUUUGUAAUUAAGUAAAUGCAAUAUCCUAGCCUAUUUCGACCUUAACUGUUUGUUUUGAAGUUGGGAAGGUUUUUUUAAAAAUCACAAAGUUUGUUCCAAAAUUCAAUAAUAAGAAAAACAAGUGAAGAGGACAACCCUCCUAUAAGUCAGUAAUGUAUAGAACUGCCUUGUCCCUCAACAAAUCCAUUUUAUUUGUGUCCAGGAAUAAUCGAACUCAUGUAUUAAGAGUGUGCUGGGAUAAAUAAGACAGGAGGAUUAAACAACAAGGCAGUUCGAUUCUAACAGUGCUAAUUGAUCACUAAUUGCUUUUUCUAAGACUCAAUAUUCAAGACUCAAAAAACAUCCAGAAUCAACAUUGAAAGAAAAAUUGUGAUUUUCAGAUGAACUUUCCAAACUUUCAACAAACAAUGAAAGUCCACUUAAACAAGAGAAGAUUGAGAUGGAACAUAAUUUACUGUUUUUACAAUGCAGUUUGAUAAGUUCAAAACACAAAGGACGAUGAGACAAAUGUUCAUCAAUGUUCUUUUAAUCCUUUAAUGAAAACAUGCUCCAAAUUAAUACCGAAAC